CCAGACUCCUACGGGAGGCAGCAGUGAGGAAUCUUCCACAAUGGGCGAAAGCCUGAUGGAGCAACGCCGCGUGCAGGAUGAAGGCCUUCGGGUUGUAAACUGCUUUUAUAAGUGAGGAAUAUGACAGUAACUUAUGAAUAAGGAUCGGCUAACUACGUGCCAGCAGCCGCGGUCAUACGUAGGAUCCGAGCGUUAUCCGGAGUGACUGGGCGUAAAGAGUUGCGUAGGUGGUUUAAUAAGCGAAUAGUGAAAUCUGGUGGCUCAACCAUUCAGACUAUUAUUCGAACUGUUAAACUCGAGAGCAGAAGAGGUAGCUGGAAUUUCUAGUGUAGGAGUGAAAUCCGUAGAUAUUAGAAGGAACACCGAUGGCGUAGGCAGGCUACUGGGCUGUUUCUGACACUGAGGCACGAAAGCGUGGGGAGCGAACCGGAUUAGAUACCCGGGUAGUCCACGCCGUAAACGAUGGAUACUAGCUGUUUGGGGUAUCGACCCCCUGAGUAGCGAAGCUAACGCGUUAAGUAUCCCGCCUGUGGAGUACGAUCGCAAGAUUAAAACAUAAAGGAAUUGACGGGGGCCCGCACAAG
rnacentral:rRNA from 1 species